rnacentral:rRNA from 1 species
GACGAACGCUGGCGGCGUGCUUAACACAUGCAAGUCGAACGGAAAGGCCCUGCUUUUGUGGGGUGCUCGAGUGGCGAACGGGUGAGUAACACGUGAGUAACCUGCCCUUGACUUUGGGAUAACUUCAGGAAACUGGGGCUAAUACCGGAUAGGAGCUCCUGCUGCAUGGUGGGGGUUGGAAAGUUUCGGCGGUUGGGGAUGGACUCGCGGCUUAUCAGCUUGUUGGUGGGGUAGUGGCUUACCAAGGCUUUGACGGGUAGCCGGCCUGAGAGGGUGACCGGCCACAUUGGGAUUGAGAUACGGCCCAGACUCCUACGGGAGGCAGCAGUGGGGAAUAUUGCACAAUGGGCGGAAGCCUGAUGCAGCAACGCCGCGUGCGGGAUGACGGCCUUCGGGUUGUAAACCGCUUUCGCCUGUGACGAGGCGUGAGUGACGGUAAUGGGUAAAGAAGCACCGGCUAACUACGUG